UUGCCUGGCGGCACUAGCGCGGUGGUCCCACCUGACCCCAUGCCGAACUCAGAAGUGAAACGCCGUAGCGCCGAUGGUAGUGUGGGGUCUCCCCAUGUGAGAGUAGGGAACUGCCAGGCAUC
rnacentral:rRNA from 2 species